CAUCUCUCACACGCAAGCCUUUUCUCGUCUCCUCUCUCGCCUCCUGCGACCCCUCGCCGCCGCCACCACCCACACCGGCCCGAUUCCGGCAAGUCCCGGCGACGGGUGGCACCCACCCAAAUCCAUCGCGAUAGGCCUUCCGCUCUCACUCCUGACCCUCAGCGGGGCUAGGGUUUCAGGCAUGGCGUCCCCUUCGUCGGCGGUGAGGCUCCAGCGGCCUCCGGUGGCUCGUCCAAGUCGCCUUCCCCGCCACCCCCCUACACGCGAAGAUCUGCCUCAUGGAUGGUCCUUCCAUGCCGAUGGCCAUGAGGUGCACGCCGUGAGUUGGGCCAUGCCUUCUCUGCACCGGUGAGUUCAUCCCCCUCCUCCUCCUCUCUACUCCGGUCGAGCUCUGGCCCUCGCCUCUAUUUCUGUCUCUCUCAGAUUUGAUGCAGCAGCCUCCUGUCUCCAUCGACGAGGAGGGCGACUGGGACCCAAGCGCAAGCCGAUGAGCUUGAUGAGGACACCGUCCUGAUCUUCACCUCGACUAUUCCCCACACAAGGUGCUUGUCAAAUAUAGGCGGAAAGCUUGACAUGGAGGAGACAUAGACGUUUGCUGAAUAUGUGUCUGUGUAGGCCCUUGAGAGGGAGACUGAAGCAAACUCCAACAUGUUUUAGGUGCACGUCAUCUGUCCCUUGUGCCCGUCUCCCUAGCAAACCUGGAGCAUUGUACACUUUGGUAUAUGUAGUUAGUUACUAUUUUACUGGCACUUAUGAUAUUCAGAGCACAUACGUGCUUGGUAUUACUUCAGUUAAAUUGGUGGCAUGCCGUAAUUACUAGGAACCAAUUUGUCAAAAUUGGACCCGAAGAAAGUGUUCCUCCCUGUUUUGUGCAGAUAAUGACUUCUGGUUACAUAUUGUGACUAGAUUAAUUAGGCUUACACAGUAACUUUUUCAUUGUUCCACUUACAGAAACUGAACUGUUGCAGUGUUAAUAUAUUUAGGCAUCCUUGAAGACCUUGUUGUCGCCGUUCCUCGCCGGUGAUCUUGAGGGACAUAGCUUGAUUAAUAUAAUGGUUCUAUAUCUGCUAUAGAUCGUUAGUCAUUUGCAAUAAUUUGAUAAGAUAAUGAAAUCAAAGGUGUGGCCUCUAUUGGUGAGCAGGGUCUGCUAUAAAAUCGAGAAGAAUACAGGGAGGAGUGAUGGGUCUGCACGUACCUAUAAGAAGAUGGCCUGAGGUGAUUUGCUUCUAUUUUCAUGAUAUACAGGUGUAGGCUUUGUUGCUACAAAAUUUUGCUGAUGUUGUGUUAUAAAUUUCCGUUAUUGUGAUUUGUCGCAUCUAAUGAUCUCGAAUCUAGGUGAGAGUUUGGUACUGCGAUUUGGUUCAUAAUUCUUAUACGGAAUCAACGUGUCGUAGUUUGUCAAUAUCAUCUGAACUAGACCAUCUGACAUUUCAUAAGCUUUACCUCAACGGAAAACGAAGACAUUACCUCAACGGAAGGCGAGCGGUGUUCUGAAGAAACUGGAGAAGGACGAGUCGCUAGACUGGGACAAGUACAUGAAGUAUUCUCAGAGGUAUAGAUUUCUGUUCAUUUGGAUUUCAGCACAUAGUAUUUUAGUUUUUUGCAUAUCUCUUUCAUGUCGUGGCGUUGUUUCAUUAGUGUUGGUUAUAACUUCGCUGUUUUUGCGUCCUGCCAAAUUUGGAGGAUCAUGAAAGAAUACUAGCAUCAUGGUUUCAGUUGGAAUAUAUGAAAAAAUAUUAGAAAACCUGAAGAUAAUCAUAACAUAACCUGCAUUUUCUAUGUCAGAAAAUAAGGGAUGCACUGAUUCUCUAUAAGCUCAUCAAACGACUUCUGCAAGACGAUACAAAUGGGUGGAAAAAGUAACUCAGAAAGUCAAACCAAAUAAUUAAAACCAGUGAUGUACUAUGUUCAUGUUUUUGUAUGGAAACCUUUAAAAGAUAUCGUUACCAGCAUACAAAUGGGUGGAAAUAGUAAGUGAGAUAGUCGAACCAAAUAAUUAAAACCAGUGAGGUACUAUGUCAUUGUUUUUUAUGGAAACCUUUAAAAGAUAUCAUUGCCAGCCUAUGGAUUUGCAUUUCUUUUUAACUGUCCAGCUCCUAACCAUUGCUGUUUUGUAGUGGCCGUAGAUGAAAACAACUUUUAGUCAGAUUCCCUAUUGCACACUGAAUUAGUUCAAUGUAUGCAUUUACACCUCUUUUCAACUAUGUUAUACUACAGAAGUCGAGCACCAUGACAAUUCACUAUUCAGACACUUCAUAUCUCACUUGAAAAUAUGUUCCCUUCUUUAUACCCUAUAUAUUAGAUUUUUUGUAAUUUUAGGGUCAUCCUAAUUAUUUCAAAAUUUAGGCCAUUCUAAAUUAUUUGGAACCAGCAUUGCUGGAAACAAAUGCAGUGACCAGUAUGCAUCAGUUACUGUAAUAUUUCUGGAACCGUGUUAUCACCACAUAUUUUAACUGAAAUGAAUAUGAUUUAAUUCGUAUCCUUGUUAAGAUAAGGAUAGAUACAAGUGGUAUGCUUUUGGCAGUACUUAAUAAAUCAACAAAAAUAAUGUAUUAGACAAUUCCUUUGAACUUUCCUUCAAAAGGAUGAAUUCGAGUACCACAUUCAAAAGAUAGCUAAAUGAUUCAGUUUAGUAACUCUAGAUCAAACAUGUUCCACAAUAAUGGGGAGAUGUUUGGUUGUGAUCAUUGCUGCAGCUAAUUGUCGCGGGAUUGUUUGUCUGCUUGGAUUCCUUUCAGUCUUUGCCCAUCAUUAUGCUUGCAAGAAUUGUGAUGACUGUUUGGGCAGUGCUGAAAACUAGGUGGGUUCACGAUGAUGCUGUAAACUUGAUGAUUUACACAUAGAUUAUGUGCAUUGCUAUGGAGUAUUAUGUUGUUAGGUGCAGAUUAUUCAGGGUGUAUAUUGAUGUGGGAGAGGAGCUCCAACUCAUGCCCUAGAGUGUGAGGAAGAAGCAGGGGGUGGUGGCCUUGGAGAGAAGGGUGGGCGCUUGCGGCGGUGGAGGAGCCACGCUUGCUGGCUGCAGUGUCUACUCGGGGUGGAGGUGGAGCGAAGCAGCGGUUUCGCGCAAGGCCUGGCUGAGGCCAGCGAGUUUAGGGGUUGCCGUGCCCUGCAUACUUGGCCAGGGUAAAUUGUGCUAGCUUUCAGAUUAUUCAUCUUCGUUUUACCCUGUGAAAUAUCUGCUCAAAUUAGUUAUGAAAGGACACAGCUCAGCUGUUGUAAUCUUGUUUUAUCUGAAUCCAUGGAUAAACCACAGAUUGCUUGCUCUCUUGGAGCAGUUAUAAUUUGCAUAGCUAUUUUUUAAGAUUCA